rnacentral:rRNA from 1 species
UACAGAGGUCUCAAGCGUUGUUCGGAUUCAUUGGGCGUAAAGGGUGCGUAGGCGGCGCGGUAAGUCGGGUGUGAAAUCUCGGAGCUUAACUCCGAAACUGCAUUCGAUACUGCCGUGCUUGAGGACUGGAGAGGAGACUGGAAUUUACGGUGUAGCAGUGAAAUGCGUAGAUAUCGUAAGGAAGACCAGUGGCGAAGGCGGGUCUCUGGACAGUUCCUGACGCUGAGGCACGAAGGUCAGGGGAGCAAACGGGG